rnacentral:rRNA from 1 species
ACGGGUGAGUAAAGCAUCGGAACGUAUCCUGGAGUGGGGGAUAACGUAGCGAAAAUUACGCUAAUACCGCAUAUUCUGUGAGCAGGAAAGCAGGGGAUCGCAAGACCUUGCGCUCUGGGAGCGGCCGAUGUCGGAUUAACUAGUUGGUGGGGUAAAGGCCUACCAAGGCGACGAUCCGUAGCGGGUCUGAGAGGAUGAUCCGCCACACUGGGACUGAGACACGGCCCAGACUCCUACGGGAGGCAGCAGUGGGGAAUUUUGGACAAUGGGCGCAAGCCUGAUCCAGCCAUGCCGCGUGAGUGAAGAAGGCCUUCGGGUUGUAAAGCUCUUUCGGCGGGGAAGAAAUUGCACGGGUUAAUACCCUGUGUAGAUGACGGUACCCGAAUAAGAAGCACCGGCUAACUACGUGCCAGCAGCCGCGGUAAUACGUAGGGUGCGAGCGUUAAUCGGAAUUACUGGGCGUAAAGCGUGCGCAGGCGGUUUGGUAAGUCAGAUGUGAAAUCCCCGGGCUCAACCUGGGAACUGCAUUUGAGACUGCCAGGCUGGAGUUUGGCAGAGGGGGGUGGAAUUCCACGUGUAGCAGUGAAAUGCGUAGAGAUGUGGAGGAACACCGAUGGCGAAGGCAGCCCCCUGGGCCAAUACUGACGCUCAUGCACGAAAGCGUGGGGAGCAAACAGGAUUAGAUACCCCGGUAGUCCACGCCCUAAACGAUGUCAACUAGGUGUUGGGAGGGUUAAACCUUUUAGUGCCGUAGCUAACGCGUGAAG